rnacentral:rRNA from 1 species
UACGAAAGGUGCAAGCGUUGUUCGGAAUGACUGGGCGUAAAGCGCACGUAGGCGGGUUUGUAAGUCAGGUGUGAAAGCCCUGGGCUCAACCCAGGAAUGGCACUUGAUACUGCAAGUCUUGAAUGCUUGAGAGGUUGGUAGAAUUCCAGGUGUAGGAGUGAAAUCCGUAGAUAUCUGGAGGAAGAUCGGUGGCGAAGGCGACUGACUGGCAAUGCAUUGACGCUGAGGUGCGAAAGCGUGGGGAGCAAACAGG